GUAGGGGUGCGAGCGUUAAUCGGAAUUACUGGGCGUAAAGCGUGCGCAGGCGGUUUGUAAGACAGGGCGUGAAAUCCCCGGGGCUCAACCUGGGAACUGCGUUUGUGACUGCAAGGCUAGAGUAUGGCAGAGGGGGGUGGAAUUCCACGUGUAGCAGUGAAAUGCGUAGAGAUGUGGAGGAACACCGAUGGCGAAGGCAGCCCCCUGGGCCAAUACUGACGCUCAUGCACGAAAGCGUGGGUAGCAAACAGGAUUAGAUACCCUGGUAGUCCACGCCCUAAACGAUGUCAACUAGGUGUUGGGUGGGUAAAACCAUUUAGUACCGGAGCUAACGCGUGAAGUUGACCGCCUGGGGAGUACGGCCGCAAGGUUA
rnacentral:rRNA from 1 species